rnacentral:rRNA from 1 species
UACGUAGGAGGCGAGCGUUGUCCGGAAUACUGGGCGUAAAGCGUGCGCAGGCGGUUUUGUAAGCCAGAUGUGAAAUCCCCGGGCUUAACCUGGGAAUGGCAUUUGGGACUGCAAGGCUUGAGUGCGGCAGAGGAGACUGGAAUUCCUGGUGUAGCAGUGAAAUGCGUAGAUAUCAGGAGGAACACCGAUGGCGAAGGCAGGUCUCUGGGCUGACACUGACGCUCAUGCACG